UAAAUGGAAUAAGACUGCUGACGAAAAAACGAGCCAAACGGGUAUCUUUGGAAUUGGUUGUUAUAUUUACGUUAAAUCCAGGUAAAGAGUGCGGAUACAUCUCAUAAACAGCUUCAAUUUGGGGAAAUAAAGGCAUGACUUCACUUGGUAAACCAAAAGAUAUGUUUCCUGUUUGAUCUCCGCUUGUAGGACUCAGGCCCUUGAAAUCAUGAAGCUGAGGAAGAACCAACUCAGAUAAGAUUGAAAGAAAUGUAUACAUAGAUUCUCCAGUUAGAGUAACCUUUACACCUACUGGCACACC